UACGUAGGGUGCAAGCGUUGUCCGGAAUUAUUGGGCGUAAAGAGCUUGUAGGCGGUUUGUCGCGUCUGCUGUGAAAUUUCGGGGCUCAACCCCGAACUUGCAGUGGGUACGGGCAGACUAGAGUGUGGUAGGGGAGACUGGAAUUCCCGGUGUAGCGGUGAAAUGCGCAGAUAUCAGGAGGAACACCGAUGGCGAAGGCAGGUCUCUGGGCCAUAACUGACGCUGAGAAGCGAAAGCAUGGGGAGCGAACAGG
rnacentral:rRNA from 1 species